CAUAUUUUUCUACAUAAAAAGCCUGCAUCUAUUGCACAUUACAGGUUCUACUAGCUGCACCAGAUCAGAUGUUGACCUUAUAAAGAUAAAUACAUCAAUAGAUUUACACCACCAAGCAAAUUACACAUCAAACUAGUUGCUGACUUAUCCACACGAGAAUUUGCACAACCUUGAAUAUGUUAAUCUUGUAGGUAUCAUUCCUGCUCUGGAGAAUAGAUCAUCUGACAUAAGAGCUUCA